rnacentral:misc_RNA from 1 species
GUAGGUGAACCUGCGGAAGGAUCAUUAGAGAAAUACGCCUGGACGAUAUAUGCUUUUGCAGUGACUCCAGUGCAGUAUAUCAACCACCUGUUUACCUUUACCUGUUGCUUCCGUGGAAUUACGGGUGCCCUUCCUGUUCGCAGGCUUGGAUUACCUUCCACGGGUGUAUUUCAAAAAAUCGUUUUAGUAUGUUUUGUCUGAUCAAAUCUUUUAAUUAAAGUUAAAACUUUCAACAACGGAUCUCUAGGUUCUC